AUUGAACGCUGGCGGCAUGCUUUACACAUGCAAGUCGAACGGUAACAGGUUAAGCUGACGAGUGGCGAACGGGUGAGUAAUGCAUCGGAACGUGCCCGGUCGUGGGGGAUAACGCAGCGAAAGCUGCGCUAAUACCGCAUACGAUCUGAGGAUGAAAGCGGGGGACCGUAAGGCCUCGCGCGAUCGGAGCGGCCGAUGUCAGAUUAGGUAGUUGGUGGGGUAAAGGCUCACCAAGCCGACGAUCUGUAGCUGGUCUGAGAGGACGACCAGCCACACUGGGACUGAGACACGGCCAAGACUCCUACGGGAGGCAGCAGUGGGGAAUUUUGGACAAUGGGCGCAAGCCUGAUCCAGCAAUGCCGCGUGCAGGAAGAAGGCCUUCGGGUUGUAAACUGCUUUUGUACGGAGCGAAAAGGCUCUCUCUAAUACAGGGGGGCUCAUGACGGUACCGUAAGAAUAAGCACCGGCUAACUACGUGCCAGCCGCCGCCGUAA
rnacentral:rRNA from 1 species